rnacentral:lncRNA from 1 species
GGGAUUGCCCCUGUUUUUUCCUAAGUCUCCUUUCAGGGUGUUGGACUUAGUGGGCUCUUUCUUUGACUUUUUUUUGUAUGGAAAUUGUGACUGCCAAAUCAUUGGUCAUUGAAGAACAACCGACAUAGAUUCUGGAUUUGUAUGGUUCUUUCGACACCUCGGGAUGUGUGUGAAGAAUGUCAUAUGGUUGAUCCUCAUAUGGGAUAUUUCACCUUUGUAAUUUGAAUGUGUAGU